rnacentral:lncRNA from 1 species
CGGGAAGUGCCUGGUCCGAAUGCAGGGAGUCCGAGGUCGCGGUGCCACCACCCUGUGAGGGUUUCCAGGAUAGUGUUACUGUGCUCUUAUAAGAAGGAGGAAUGUGGAAGAGAUCCUGCAGAGACAAAAAUCAGAGACAUGAUCUCAUCGCCCAGACAGGAGUGCGGAGGCAUGACUGCAGCUGACCGUAACCUCGAGCUCCUGGGCUCAAGUGAGCCUCCCAUCUCAGUGUUGCAAGUAGCUGGGACUACUGGUGUGUCACCACACUCCGCUAAUUUUUUAAAGUUAUUUUUUAUAGAGACAGGAUCUUACUAUGUUGCCUAGCUAGUCUCAAACUCCUGGUGUCAAGCAACCCUCCUGCCUUGGCCUCCCAAAGUGCUGGGAUUACAGACGUGAGCCACCAUGCCUGGCUCAUUUCUGUCAUAUGUUUACAAACAUGCCCAUUUUCUGAACCCUCCAAUCUGUAUCACUGGGGUAAGGCAGGAUGGGGAGCUCUCAUAGAACAAAAGCACAACCCAAGGAACUUCAAGAUAGCUACCACCUUUGCCAAGGAUUGAGCCACCUCAAUCAUAUAUCACCUGAUUUUGAAAUCUUUGAGCUUUUCUGCAUUCAGUUUGGCUGUUAAGAAAUCUGGAAGUUUUCGGCCCAACUGGUGAAAACUGUACAACAAACAUUCCACAUAACUGAACUGUAGCUUGGGUUCUUCAUUACCAGCAUUCUCUCCAUUUUCUGCCUCUUCUGGAGGGAGGGGCAUGUAUUCCUA